GACGAACGCUGGCGGCGUGCCUAAUACAUGCAAGUUGAGCGCUGAAGGUUGGUACUUGUACCAACUGGAUGAGCAGCGAACGGGUGAGUAACGCGUGGGGAAUCUGCCUUUGAGCGGGGGACAACAUUUGGAAACGAAUGCUGAUACCGCAUAAAAACUUUAAACACAAGUUUUAAGUUUGAAAGAUGCAAUUGCAUCACUCAAAGAUGAUCCCGCGUUGUAUUAGCUAGUUGGUGAGGUAAAGGCUCACCAAGGCGAUGAUACAUAGCCGACCUGAGAGGGUGAUCGGCCACAUUGGGACUGAGACACGGCCCAAACUCCUAUGGGAGGCAGCAGUAGGGAAUCUUCGGCAAUGGACGAAAGUCUGACCGAGCAACGCCGCGUGAGUGAAGAAGGUUUUCGGAUCGUAAAACUCUGUUGGUAGAGAAGAACGUUGGUGAGAGUGGAAAGCUCAUCAAGUGACGGUAACUACCCAGAAAGGGACGGCUAACUACGUG
rnacentral:rRNA from 1 species